AUUGAACGCUGGCGGAAUGCCUUACACAUGCAAGUCGAACGGCAGCACGGGGGCAACCCUGGUGGCGAGUGGCGAACGGGUGAGUAAUACAUCGGAACGUGCCCAGUCGUGGGGGAUAACGUAGCGAAAGUUACGCUAAUACCGCAUACGAUCUAUGGAUGAAAGCGGGGGACCGUAAGGCCUCGCGCGAUUGGAGCGGCCGAUGUCAGAUUAGGUAGUUGGUGGGGUAAAGGCUCACCAAGCCGACGAUCUGUAGCUGGUCUGAGAGGACGACCAGCCACACGGGGACUGGGACACGGCCCAGAAUCCUACGGGAGGCAGCAGUGGGGAAUUUUGGACAAUGGGCGCAAGCCUGAUCCAGCCAUUCCGCGUGCAGGAUGAAGGCCCUCGGGUUGUAAACUGCUUUUGUACGGAACGAAACGGUCUGCUCUAAUACAGCGGGCUAAUGACGGUACCGUAAGAAUAAGCACCGGCUAACUACGUGCCAGCCGCCGCCGUAAGAC
rnacentral:rRNA from 1 species